AGUCUGCUAAGUGAGAUAAGAUUCCGUCUGAAAUCGGGUAUGUAUCGGACCUCUCCCAAUCUUCUCACUGCACCGUCAUGUGUCCUCCAGCUGACCGUCCCAAUGCCUCUGAUCGUAUAGCUCAAUCCAUCCAGCAGAUAUACAGUGCCCUUACUGUUCUUCAGGGAGUCAAACUGCUCCUCUCUGCAACAUACAUGAUAGAGGCAUGUAGAAU
rnacentral:lncRNA from 1 species